GGUCUGGAAACAAUAUAUUCAUCCAUGAAGGCUCCAGAAAUCCUGCUUUGGACAGCAACAGCAUUUCUAUCUUUGAACAGCAACGAUCAGGGACAAUGGAUUUCCUCUUCCGAAUCGAUGAGAGUAGUGCUAAAAAGAAUGGAGCUGGGAGACGGUUUUCUGCAGAAUUCAGGAAAUCCUCAAAAUUCUUCAGUUUAACCAUUAAGGAUCUAGAGCUGAUGGACUCGGCGACAUACUUCUGUGCUCUCGUGGAACACACUCGACCUCUCAGCGUGUCCGGCCGCCGCUGUCUAAACACCAUGGAGACGCGUUUCAUUCUCAGCCUUUGGGUCUUUAGACAACUAGGUGCGGUGGUGGGUGACUCGAUCCGGUCCAGUGAACCCGAGGUGUCCAGGUCAGAAGGAGACACCGUGACCAUCAGCUGUUCCUACGAUACCAGCUACACUGCUGGUGUCUAUCUCUACUGGUACCGUCAGUAUCCGAACCGAGCCCCGCAGUACAUCCUCCUGAGAGGAGCAAAAGGAAGCACAUUCAGCGAUACUGCAGGUUUCGCCCAGGAGAGGUUUUCUUCCCAGUCCGAUGACAGCUCCACAGUUCUGAACAUCGCAGCCCUGGAGCUGUCAGACACAGGGGUGUAUCUCUGCGCCCUGCAGAGAGCACAGUGACAGAGCCUCACAGCAGAGCUGUACAAAAACCUCCCAGCCCUGCUGCAGGGGCUGUCACAGGCAUUAAAACGGGCUGCAGCGCCUCGAAAAAGACUUGAGUACUGACGCUGCUUAAAGAUACAUCUCCCCAUAACAGCUGUAUGUUUAUUUAAAGAGCUGAUUUAAACAUCACGCUUGGAUAAGAUAAUGGGCCUGAUCUUUAAUUAGGAAGCUAUAAAUACGUUUUACUUAGUUUAGGAGAUGAUUUAUAUCGGUGUGUGUGUGGGAAUCAUUUGUAGUAAGGGUUAAAGGUGAGUACAAAUGUAGACGAAGUGACCUAUUGUUGAAAUACAGAUUGAGAUUAAA